UUCACAUAUCAAAAUGUAUAAUGUUGGAUAGGAAUAACUCGAAAACCGACCAUGAAAACAUCAUUCUGUUGAUAUUCAAAGAUUAAGGUCACUGAAAAAGACACAUAGAUGAGUCGUCGUUGAGUGAAUUAUCAUUAUCAUCGUAAGUAAAUGAGUAAUAAAUUAGUUUAUCUCA